GAGUUUGAUCCUGGCUCAGGACGAACGCUGGCGGCGCGCCUAACACAUGCAAGUCGAACGGGGAUAUGCUGGACAAGGUUUCGGCCGAGGAAGGCAUAUUCGAGUGGCGGACGGGUGAGUAACGCGUGAGCAACCUGCCUUUCAGAGGGGGAUAACGAUUGGAAACGAUCGCUAAUACCGCAUAACAUUGCAGAGCCGCAUGGUUUUGCAAUCAAAGGAGCAAUCCGCUGAGAGAUGGGCUCGCGUCCAAUUAGGUAGAUGGCGGGGUAGAGGCCCACCAUGCCGACGAUUGGUAGCCGGACUGAGAGGUUGAACGGCCACAUUGGGACUGAGACACGGCCCAGACUCCUACGGGAGGCAGCAGUGGGGAAUAUUGGGCAAUGGGGGAAACCCUGACCCAGCGACGCCGCGUGAGGGAAGAAGGUUUUCGGAUUGUAAACCUCUGUCCUUGGUGACGAUAAUGACGGUAGCCAAGGAGGAAGCCACGGCUAACUACGUGCCAGCAGCCGCGGUAAUACGUAGGUGGCGAGCGUUGUCCGGAAUUACUGGGUGUAAAGGGAGCGUAGGCGGGAGAGCAAGUCGACUGUGAAAUCUAUGGGCUUAACCCAUAGCUGCGAUCGAAACUGUUCAUCUUGAGUGAAGUAGAGGCAGGCGGAAUUCCUAGUGUAGCGGUGAAAUGCGUAAAUAUUAGGAGGAACACCAGUGGCGAAGGCGGCCUGCUGGGCUUUAACUGAC
rnacentral:rRNA from 1 species